GAUGAACGCUGGCGGCGUGCCUAACACAUGCAAGUCGAGCGAACCCUUCGGGGUGAGCGGCGGACGGGUGAGUAACGCGUGGGUAACCUGCCCUGUACACACGGAUAACAUACCGAAAGGUAUGCUAAUACGAGGUAAUAUAUUUUAAUCGCAUGGUUAAGAUAUCAAAGCUCCGGCGGUACAGGAUGGACCCGCGUCUGAUUAGCUAGUUGGUGAGGUAAUGGCUCACCAAGGCGACGAUCAGUAGCCGACCUGAGAGGGUGAUCGGCCACACUGGAACUGAGACACGGUCCAGACUCCUACGGGAGGCAGCAGUGGGAAUAUUGCACAAUGGGCGAAAGCCUGAUGCAGCAACGCCGCGUGAGCGAUGAAGGCCUUCGGGUCGUAAAGCUCUGUCCUCAAGGAAGAUAAUGACGGUACUUGAGGAGGAAGCCCCGGCUAACUACGUGCCAGCCGCCGCCGUAA
rnacentral:rRNA from 1 species